rnacentral:rRNA from 1 species
CAGUAGCCGCGGGAAUACGAAGGGGGCUAGCGUUGUUCGGAAUUACUGGGCGUAAAGCGCACGUAGGCGGCUUUGUAAGUCAGAGGUGAAAGCCUGGAGCUCAACUCCAGAAUUGCCUUUAAGACUGCCGAGCUAGCAGGUGAGAGAGGUAAGUGGAAUUCCGAGUGUAGAGGUGAAAUUCGUAGAUAUUCGGAAGAACACCAGUGGCGAAGGCGGCUUACUGGCUCAUACUGGACGCUGAGGUGCGAAAGCGUGGGGAGCAAACAGGAUUAGAGACCCGUGUAGUCCCUGUCUCUUAUAC